rnacentral:rRNA from 1 species
AGUCGGAACGAGAAUCACUGGAAGGAGUUUUCGGACAACGGAAGGUGAGGACAGUGGCGGACGGGUGAGUAACGCGUGAGGAACCUGCCUUUCAGAGGGGGACAACAGUUGGAAACGACUGCUAAUACCGCAUGACACAUAGAGAUCGCAUGGUUUUUAUGUCAAAGAUUUAUCGCUGAAAGAUGGCCUCGCGUCUGAUUAGCUAGUUGGUGAGGUAACGGCCCACCAAGGCGACGAUCAGUAGCCGGACUGAGAGGUUGACCGGCCACAUUGGGACUGAGAUACGGCCCAGACUCCUACGGGAGGCAGCAGUGGGGAAUAUUGGGCAAUGGGCGCAAGCCUGACCCAGCAACGCCGCGUGAAGGAAGAAGGCUUUCGGGUUGUAAACUUCUUUUGUCGGGGACGAGUAGAAGACGGUACCUGGCGAAUAAGCCACGGCUAACUACGUGCCAGCAGCCGCGGUAAUACGUAGGUGGCAAGCGUUGUCCGGAUUUACUGGGUGUAAAGGGCGUGUAGCCGGGAAGGCAAGUCAGAUGUGAAAUCCACGGGCUUAACUCGUGAACUGCAUUUGAAACUACUUUUCUUGAGUAUCGGAGAGGCAAUCGGAAUUCCUAGUGUAGCGGUGAAAUGCGUAGAUAUUAGGAGGAACACCAGUGGCGAAGGCGGAUUGCUGGACGACAACUGACGGUGAGGCGCGAAAGCGUGGGG